UUACCAAAACUCAACUUUAUAUGGGAGUAAAAAAAGGAUAAAUUUCGGGUGAAUAGUGACAGGGUAUUAUUCAUUUGAAAUUUGUUAUUUUUGUUUCUAUCAAAUGAAGUUGAGUUUGGACA
rnacentral:pre_miRNA from 1 species